ensembl:lncRNA
AUGACACUGCUCUCUGAAAAAUUCACACGACCCGUUCCCGCUGCAGGGUUUCCAGAGCUGCGGCAGCGCAGGACAGCUCCACACUCCACAGUCGGGGGACGAGGGGCUCAGCCGAUGCCGUGCUCAACACUUCGACACGAUGCCCUCCCGCCGGCCACUCUCGCUGGGGACGCUGCAGGCGAGCUGCUGCUUUCUCCUUGCCUGAAGAGCUUUCCCCAGAUCUCCUCGCACACGGCCGUGCCGUGGGCACCGCAGAAGCACGCGCACAGCCCAGCUCGCAGCAGCCAGAGUCCCGCUACCCGCCCACAGGCGCCCAGCGCUCGCAGCCCGGAGCAAGCCCGACUGACGCCGGCGCAGGGCGCAGCCCCGGGGCGGAGCUGGCGGCGGCGGCGGGGAGGAGGCGCCGCGGGCGGAGCAGAGCCGGGGCUGGCGGGGGCAGCGCGGCGCGGCGCGGCCCGGGCGGCGGAGCGGCGGGAUGCGGCAGUGCCGGGCCGCGGGGCUGGCGGGGCUGGCCGCGGUGCUCCUGGGUGCGCGGGGCUGCCGCCGGCGGGGCCGGACUGCGGGGGCAGCGGGGGCCUGGACCGCGCUCAUCUCUGUCCUGGCUGUGAGCAGAGCCCAAGUACAGCCGUCGGCAGUGACCAGCGAGGACACCGGCAUCAACAUCACUUGCUCACUUCCCCAUAUACAGCGCACCGAUUUCAUUUACUGGUACCGCCAGUUCCCGGGUCGGGGCCCCGCAUUCAUCGCGUUCAUUCACGAAGGCUCCAAGGAGCUGCAUGACUUGGCUGGGCGGCUGUGGGUAUCGGCAGACCGCCGCUCCAGCACCCUGUGGCUCGCCCGGCCCCGAUACGGGGACGCGGCGGUGUAUUACUGCGCCCUGAACCCACGGGGUGUGGAGUCGGGUCUGCGGCAUAGCAAGAACCGCUUCGGGCGGGGCAGGGCGGGCGGGGGCACAGUGCCGUCCAGGCCCGCAGGGAGCGCUGCCACUCCUUCCACCGGGGCCGCCUCUCCCCUCCCGGCCCCGCCCGAGCUGCCAUUGCUGACAUGGAACGUGUCCCUCGCACUGCUCGGCAUCCCCCAGAGUAAGGGAUUCCAGCUGCGCACCUUCAUGAGCACGGCAUGUCGAGAUCACAGACACCUUCGAGUGGUCCCCACUGUGGCUCUGUUUUAAGACCAUGCUUGUGUGACAGGAUUCGGGGUCUUUGGAGGUGAGGUCCAGGACCACUUUUUAAUUAAACCCCCAUGGACAACUCAGCUCCACACAGCCUCAGGGUCGCUGGGUGGGAUGGAGGAGAGAAUAAGGAAAGGUGAAUGCAAGACCAAGAACUCAUGGGCUGAGACAGUAUAUAAGGCAAGCUCAAUGACAAGCAGGCAAGUAAACCAAAACAAUGAAUUCAUUCACUACGUCUAAUCAGUAGGCAUGUAUGCAGGCACAUGUUCAGCCACUUCCAGGAAAGCAGGGCUCAUCACGCAGAACAGUUUCUUGGGAAGACGAUCACCAUCUCUCCAAACAUCCCCACUGUCUUUCUUCUUCAGCUUUUGUUGCUGAGCAUAACCUCAGAUGGCAUGGAAAGUCUUUGGUUGGUUUGGUCAGCUGUUCUGACAGUGUCUCCUCCAAGCUUCUUGUGAAUGAAUCCUCACUGUCAGAGCGGCAUCAGAGAGAGGAAAAUCCUUUAUUCUGUAUAAACACUGCAAUGACUACAAUCCGGAUGAGGUGAUCAGAUAAGAACUUGGAGUAGGUGCACUGCAACCCCAAGAGAUGCCAGGUUCAUACUGCAGG